rnacentral:antisense_RNA from 1 species
UGCUGAGCGGGUGUUGCCCUUGCUGCUUUCCUGUGAUGUAGCCCUUUUCAAAACCACCUCUCCCAAGUGCUGCACCCCUCCUCCUCCAUGCCCAGGGACCGCGGGUGCUCGGGGCCCCGACUCGUACCCAGGUGCCACCUGGCCCUCACCUCCCGCCGUAGCUGGCUGUGACGCCCGCCAUGGGCACACUGGGGCAGUGCAGGGAGAAGACGAGGAUGCCCAGCAGGCUGACAACGGUGCAGAACAGGCAGAACUUGAUGACCGCGGAGCCCCGGAGCCUGAGCUUGUUCACAAAGAAGCCGCCCAGGAAGGUGCCGCCACCGCCCGCUGGCACCACCAGUGUCGCUGACUUGAACCCCUGCGUCUGCAGCUUAGCGACAUCCUGUAAACCUGCACUUUCCAGCCUCUCACCGGAGCAGAGUGUCGGCCUCACAUCACCCCCACCGGCAGGAAGGUGGCUCUUUCCUCUCGGCCACACCUAGAGCCUGGUUCCGAUAAAUGCAACUCUGAACGCCUGGAACAUUCAAAUGCUCUUGUUUGAGGACGUGGCCAAAUGUAAAUGGAUUCUGAAGAAUUAGGAACAGACGAUGCAGCCCUAGUUAGCCUCUGAGCCCCAACAGGCCCACAGGUGCCUUGCAGAGCUGAUGUUGGCGACAGAAACUCCACUCCAGCCUCACACUCUGCCUGCUUGGAGGUGUUCGCUGGCUCGCUCAGACUGACCUCAGCAGCCAUGAACAUAGGUUUUUUCUGUUCCCUUCCCUGAUUAAAAUGGGAGAGCCCAAUUCUUUCAAAAUUUCCUGA